CGUGGCAGUUCCUCAGUAGCCGAGGCCACCCCUCCCUCCUUCCUUGACACCCACAGUCUGGCCCUCUGGUCCAUCCUCCCUCCAAGAUGGCCCAGGACUCCCCACAGGGGACACAGGCUCCAGGAGUGGGGCUGAGCAGAACAGCCUCAGGCUGAUGGUCUUUGUGGACCAUGCACCCUAUCAGGAAAAAAACAGGGACACACCUCCAUAAUCAUUUCUUUAUAAAUGACAUACAUUGCAACACCAUUUGCAUUUUAUGUCUUAAUAAAGCUGCAUUAAUUUCUUCUUUUAGAUGAACGUUUAAAUAGAAAGUCUCCUGUUUUCUUGCUUUUCAUGGCCUAUUGUUUCUAUUUUCUUGUCUUUCACACUCUGUGGUGACUGCAGGGUCCGUCUGGUGGGGGUGGGGCCGUGGCUGGACUCUCCUUCCCGCCCCCAGGUUGUUUUCCAAACUUUCAGUAUCGUGAGUAGAAGGAGGGGCCCUGCCUGGGGAGGGCCGUGUGAAUCACCCCAUGGAAAUACUGGCGCCCUGGGCUGGGGGCAGGGUGGGCCUGGUUUCCAGGAAGGGCUUGGGCAGGAAGCCAGGCAGGAAGAGGCUGGGGAGUUUCUGGAAAGGCAGCGCGGAGGGGCCUGGGGAGGCCAGUGGACCUCUCGGGGCAGGGCACUGGCCUCCCCUCUCACAGAUGGGGAAUCCUUGGCACUUCCUGGCACAUGCCAGGGCAUGGGGGUGGGGGCAGAAGGCCAGGGAAGGAGGUGGCGGCCGAUCCUCAGCAGGCCUCUAGGGUGGGUGGCCGUGGACAAAGAGGGGAGGGUGGGAUGGACUUGGAGGAGGUGCCCUAGGGGCUCCUUUGAGCCUGGCCCCAGCACCUACAGCCUGUGCUUGGGGCUGAGGGUCCCAUUGUAUGACCUGUAGUUUCAGCCAGAAGGAUACUUGGAAUAAGAGGGGACAAAGGAGGCGGCAGUUUAAAGCGGUCGCUGAGCAGAGAAUCCCGCUGAUGGAUGGGGACGGUGCUGCUCCAUAGGGGGCCCUCUCUCAGACUUCUGUAGCCCCCAUGGCAUUUAGCCAAGAGAGGCUCCCUCCCCACACAAGUGAACUUACAGGACAGAAAUCCAGAAUGCAAGUGGGAUAAGCAGUGUAGAAGUGUUUCUCUCUCAAGGCGGAGUGGUUGAUUCACUCAUUCAUCCACUCGUCUGUGCACGCAUUUGCUCCAAAAACACUGCUAAGCUCCAGGCUGCCCACUCCUCAUUCAUGAAGGUCCUGCCACCUUCAGAUCCUGUGCCCCAUCCCACAGUGACUGGCCUAGGGUAGAAAUGCCAUCCCAGCUGGCCCAACUUGGGCAAAUAUCAGGACUCUGGCAGGCAAUACCUGGACAAAGAUUUACACCUGGGAGAACGAGGGCCCUAAAGCAGCUGGAGGCCACUUGUCAACCUACAGGAAGAACUGUACUGAGAGUGGAUCCAAUGGAGAAGGGAGCAGACCCAACAGGUGGGGAGAGACUGGCUCCUUGGAUGCUGUUUGAGCGCCUGGAUUCACCUGCACCUGAAGCAAAGUGCUACACCCAGAAAACAAUGUCCACUGAAGCCAGUUUGAAGCUGGUGCUCUGUUGUCUACAACCCAAGAAUGCUAGCUGACAGGGAUGAGUUGAGGGUGCGUGGGCACAGAGCACCACCAGGACCGGGACCCAACUCGCUGACAUCAUCACGGUGGGAAACAGGAACUCCUCGACCUCAGGCCAAAAGAUCCAUCUGUUAGAGCCAUCGGGCCAGCCAAGGCUGCUCAGAGAGGCAGGUGGAGGCCAUGUCAUUUCUAACUGACCCGGGAAGAACCAUGUGGUGUGCAGGGUGGGGGUCCCUGCCCACCCAUACUGGGCAUCAUCCAUGCUUAGUGAUCACAUCCAGCUCAGCAACCACAAGCACAGAGGCCAGCGUGUCCCGCGUGGGACACAACGCAGGGUCCUUGCUGCUCUAGCCGCUGCUCAGGCCACUUAUGCUGGCGCCCUAAGAAGUCUCCCUCCUCACAUGUCCUCCCUGGAGUUUAAGCCGAGCUCUCCCCUCCAGUGGACAUCCUCCUUCCCAGCCUCAUGAAAGAUUCAAGACAGAUAGAUAGUUUUUGUUUUUUUUUUUUGAGACGGGGUUUCGCUCUUGUUGUCCAGGCUGGAGUGCAAUGGCGCAAUCUUGGUUCACUGCAACCUCCACCUCCCAGGUUCAAGUGAUUCUCCUGCCUCAGCCUCCCGAGUAGCUAAAGCUGAGAUUACAGGCAUGCGCCACCACACCCGGGUAAUUUUUUGUAUUUUUAGUAGAGACGGGGUUUCUCCAUGUUAGUCAGGCUGGUCUCCACCUCAGGUGAUCCGCCUACCUUGGCCUCCCAAAGUGCUGGGAUUACAGGCGUGAGCCACCACGCCCGACCUGAUGCAAAAUAUUUUUUAAAAGCUCUUCCUUAAAAAUCUGUGUAGGAUGGACUUACUGCAACCUAGCAGGCACCUAAAGAGACCAGGGAUAAAAGUCGACCCACGAGAGCCCCAGGAGAAAGGACAACUGCUGCCGAGGCAGAAAGCCUCCAGGACAGCCUGUGGGAGCUGUUGAAAGGCAAUGCAGGCAGCAAACACCACAGGACAGAGGGGAGGGCUGCCGCAGUAGUGUGGGCUUGAAGACCGUUCCCCUGUGGGUCCCUCCCAGCACAGGGGAACAGGAAGACAUGGUGUGGUCCCUUCUUCACAGAGCGAGCAGUCUGUGGAGAAGACGGGGCUCAUCGGGCAAUGCCUCCACUGGGGCCAGAAAAGGCUUCCCCUGGCUGGACCUGCAGGACGAGGGUCAGGGCUCAGCCAGGUGGCCAGCCCUCAGCGUCUGCUCCCACCUCCUUCUGUGUCCCAGACCCUAAGGCAGAGGCUGGGAAACUAACAAACUACAUUCCCCAGCCUCCUUCACAACUGAGUUCAAAUUAGGUUCCGCCAAUAAUGUGCACUUUUGUGAUGUGGAAGGCAAAUGGAAGAGAGACACCAUCUCCACGUGACUUUGGGGGAUUUUUCUGCUGCAGAGGUCUGGUGGCAGAUCCCCUGACAAGCCAGUUCCGCAGUGUUUUUCUGGGACCAUCUUCAGCCUCGACACAGUCCACCAGCCUCUCCACAGGUAUUGAAGCACCCAAGUCCCUGUAUUAAAUCUCCUCCCACUUAAAACACCUAGAGUGACUUCUGUUUCCUACAACCAAUACAUCAGGCAAAGAGGGCACCAAAUAAUGUUCCAGAUGAAGCCACUGGCAUGAGUGUAAUCACCUAGCCAAGGAUGGAGGAGGGCAGGGUAGAGGCAGGGGCGGGGGCCUAGUUCGGAGUUACUGCAUGAUGUGAUGAGAGCAGGAACUAAGGCAAGGACACUGGAUGGAGCAGCAGGAAGGAUGGGGGUGAGGAAUAAGCCAGACUCGGCCACUGCUUGCCUGAGGCCAUGAAGAAUGACCUUGAGGUCUCAACCCAGGCAGAUGGGACCAAGGAGAUUCCAUGUAUCUAAGGAGGUAAAU
rnacentral:lncRNA from 1 species